rnacentral:lncRNA from 1 species
CGGUGCCUCAGAACAAACCAAGGUGAUGAGAUCCAAAGUGAACGGUGGAAGAAAUGUCCAUUAGCAGUUGCAGGUGUGGCAAAAGUGCCCUCCCAACCUUGCCGACUCCAGCCCCCAAGCAGAGAAACGCCGUCCUUGUCAACAUCUUCAAAGCACUGGUUUGCACACCCCUCCUAGAAAGGCAGGCUAUGGCAGGGCACCGGCGGAAGAGGCUGAGCCAGUGGAUCUGAGAGUAAGGGUGGAGAUGAUGGAGCACAAGGAGGGCAAGAAAAGGUGAGAAGAAAAACUGGGGCUGUGAUGGAGUGAAGAAAUGUGGGCAGAGAACACAAAUUUGUAGAGCCAAGCAUCUUUUAGCAGGCGACCUGCAAUUUAAUGAACCUGUUUAACACCGAAGCUUAACUUCCCUAAAUCAAAUCCAGAAGACAAUCCGGCCUUUGUCCCAAAUGACAACAGCAUUUUGUGGCACAAAAGGAGGCAGAGAGAAGAUGCCCUCCAGUUUAUUCCACAGAUUUAGAUCUCCAAAGUAUUAAGGGCUUUUGCAUUUUCUGACAAAUGAACUCAUUUAAUUAGCACAUAAUGAGCAUUAGGAAAAUAACAAGCUUUGUUGUUUCGUUUCCUGCACAAGGCAAGGG